UGCCCCAUGGCUGAGUUGGUUACAGCGUCCGACUGUUAAAAGUCAAUCGGAAGGUCGAGAGUUCGAGCCUCUCUGGGGCAG
rnacentral:tRNA from 1 species